UAGGGAAUCUUCCACAAUGGACGCAAGUCUGAUGGAGCAACGCCGCGUGAGUGAAGACGGUUUUCGGAUCGUAAAGCUCUGUUGUUGGUGAAGAAGGAUAGAGGCAGUAACUGGUCUUUAUUUGACGGUAAUCAACCAGAAAGUCACGGCUAACUACGUGCCAGCAGCCGCGGUAAUACGUAGGUGGCAAGCGUUGUCCGGAUUUAUUGGGCGUAAAGCGAGCGCAGGCGGAGUGAUAAGUCUGAUGUGAAAGCCCACGGCUCAAGCGUGGAACUGCAUCGGAAACUGUCAUUCUUGAGGGCAGAAGAGGAGAGUGGAAGUCCAUGUGUAGCGGUGGAAUGCGUAGAUAUAAGGAAGAACACCAGUGGCGAAGGCGGGUCUCUGGUCUGUAACUGACGCUGAGGCUCGAAAGCAUGGGUAGCGAUCAGU
rnacentral:rRNA from 1 species